rnacentral:rRNA from 1 species
UUCGGACACUUUACAAGGUGCUGCAUGGUGUCGUCAGCUCGUCCGUGAGGUGUCAGGUUAAGUCGUAUAACGAGCGCAACCCCUCUUGUUAGUUGCCAGCGAGUCAUGUCGGGAAUCUAACAAGACUGCCGGUGCAAACUGUGAGGAAGGUGGGGAUGACGUCAAAUCAUCACGGCCCUUACGUCCUGGGCUACACACGUGCUACAAUGGCCGGUACAGAGACAGCCACUGCGCGAGCAGGAGCGAAUCUACAAAGCCGGUCACAGUUCGGAUUGGAGUCUGCAACCCGACUCCAUGAAGCUGGAAUCGCUAGUAAUCGGAUAUCAGCCAUGAUCCGGUGAAUACGUUCCCGGGCCCUUGUACACACCGACCUCGUCCAAGCCCAUGGAAGCCUGGGGGUCACUCUG